AGCCUAAACCCAGUAGUGAUACUUGGCAUGGCACAAAAUCCUAGUGAAUAUUAACGGGCUUCUGCUCGGUCCUAUUCACUAGGUCUACUUCCGAAAGGUUGUAGGAUGUCGCAAGGCAUC
rnacentral:sRNA from 12 species